CCUACGGGGGGCAGCAGUGAGGAAUAUUGGUCAAUGGCCGUAAGGCUGAACCAGCCAAGCCGCGUGAGGGAAGACUGCCCUAUGGGUUGUAAACCUCUUUUAUGCGGGGGUAAAGGUGUCCACGUGUGGAUGUUUGCAGGUACAGCAUGAAUAAGGACCGGCUAAUUCCGUGCCAGCAGCCGCGGUAAUACGGAAGGUCAGGGCGUUAUCCGGAUUUAUUGGGUUUAAAGGGAGCGAAGGCGGGUCUUUAAGCGUGCCGUGAAAUUUUGUGGCUCAACCAUGAGACUGCGGCGCGAACUGGAGACCUUGAGUGCGCGAAAGGCAAGCGGAAUUCGUGGUGUAGCGGUGAAAUGCUUAGAUAUCACGAGGAACCCCGAUGGCGAAGGCGGCCUGCUGCAGCGUUACUGACGCUGAGGCUCGAAAGCGCGGGGAUCGAACAGGAUUAGAUACCCGAGUAGUC
rnacentral:rRNA from 1 species